ACGACUAUAGAUGGCUGGGUUUUUUCUCUAUUUCUUUACCUUGUUUCCCUCACUGUCACCUAGUUCUAUGUUGCUUAUUUUCUGUGUUCUCUAUGCUUGUGGUUCAGUUCUAGGAGUUGAACAGAAGGCUGAAUUUUGGCUAUUUUUGUUAUUACUCUUUGUAUCCAUUUCUUUUUGUAAAUAACAUUUACAAAUAGCCCCUUCUCAAUAAAGUUUAGUGGAAGCCUAUGGCUUCUUCGAU
rnacentral:lncRNA from 1 species